ACCCACUCUUCUCUUGUACCGUCUGACUUUUGGUUUCUCUGUAUCUCUUCUAAGGCCAUAGGAAAGGUACAUCUACUCCCCUAUUUAAGAAUUUCUAUAAAAUUUUACCUAUAUACUGGUCAAUCCUAUUGAAAAAGUUCAUCUAUUAAGUUCAUAUCAAUUCCACACUGUCUGGAUUAAGCUUGGGAUUCUUAACAACAAGUAUUUUUGAGCAGUUAUGAAAGAGGGGAAGCAAAAAAAACAUUACUAUUCUGAAAAACAUGACAGGAGAUAUACUGAAUAGCCCUUCCUCCAUAGUAGAAGAAAUUCUCUCAUUUUAUAAGUCCCUUUUGGGUUCUGUAGCAUCUAUACUACCUGCUGUGAAUAUGGUUACAAUGAGGGAGCACCACCAACAAGUCGAACUAUGUACUAAAGUUACUCAUGCAGAGAUUUCAGGUCCUUGUUGCACCUAUAUUUACAACCCUAACCCUUGCUUUAAAAUCUCCUCCACAACCUGUCAUUACAAUGCCUAGUUUAGCUAAAUUGCCCAAGCCCAAGGCUAAGGGUACAAACAAAAGGUAAAUGACCUUCGGGGAAAAGGUGAAGCUAGGGGCUGACUUGCAGGAUCUUCCCCUAGAGAAGUUGGAUCAUGCUUUGCGAAUUGUAAAAAGAAAACCCCUAAUCUUACACGGGAUGGGAAUGAGAUUGAGCUUGAAUUUGAGCUCAUUGGAAAUGAAAUGAUGUGGGAACUGGAGAGAUUUGUAGGUUACCAUAAGAAAGCUAUGAGCAAGAUGAGCAGACAAGGUGUCACUGAAGAUGUUGUUAUUGUACAGCUCAACAAGUCUCCUGAAAAGGCACCAACUCUAGAACCUGCAAUGCCUAAAAAUAAGAAAGUGGAUGUUGUGGAAGAGGAUGUUGAUAUUAGUGAGGAAAUCCCAGGUUAAAGCUUUCUUCCUAUGCAUAUUGACAAGGAUAUCCCAUGUGUGAGUCGUGGGUCAAGCAGUUCUAGUGGAAGAUCAAGUUUUGGCAGUAGUUCUUCUUCCAGUGAUUUAGAUUCAGGAAGUUCUUCUGGGAGUGAUUCUGAUGAGAAGCAUAGUGUACAGUCAUUUUUUGUUAAAGCAGCUAAAGAAUCUCCUAUAAUCUAAGCCAUUAAUGUGUUUGAGAAUUAGAUAUUGGUGUCUCAGGAAUUUAGAUCAACUGAAUAGUGCUAUGGUGCUUCCAUUAGUAUCUUAUCUGGCUGAUUUUUGUGAAUCUUUUUUAGUAGCUCAAAAGAUGAUCAUGGCUUUUGGAAGUCUGAUUAGUUCAAGAUUAGGAAAUUGAGAGGUUUUAGCUAACUACAGAGUAGUUAUAUAGGUAGAUGGGGAUGUUUAAAAUGGGGACUGUGACAACAAUCAUUUGGGUUUAUUUCUUGCUUGUAUACAGAAAAACACCUGCUGAUUCAGUGAUUAGGAAGGAUAGAAGUAAAUUGUACAGUGCAGUGCAGACUGAGUUAGUGGAACAAAGUUAUAGUCUCUAUUAAUCCUAAGAUGAA